AUUGAACGCUGGCGGCAUGCUUUACACAUGCAAGUCGAACGGUAACAGGGUGCUUGCACCGCUGACGAGUGGCGAACGGGUGAGUAAUGCGUCGGAACGUGCCGAGUAGUGGGGGAUAACGCAGCGAAAGUUGUGCUAAUACCGCAUACGUACUGAGGUAGAAAGUGGGGGACCUUCGGGCCUCACGCUAUUCGAGCGGCCGACGUCUGAUUAGCUGGUAGGUGAGGUAAAGGCUCACCUAGGCGACGAUCAGUAGCGGGUCUGGGAGGAUGGUCCGCCACACUGGGACUGAGACACGGCCCAGACUCCUACGGGAGGCAGCAGUGGGGAAUUUUGGACAAUGGGCGAAAGCCUGAUUCAGCCAUGCCGCGUGUCUGAAGAAGGCCUUCGGGUUGUAAAGGACUUUUGUCAGGGAGGAAAUCCCUAGUGCUAAUAACACUGGGGGAUGACAGUACCUGAAGAAUAAGCACCGGCUAACUACGUGCCAGCCGCCGCCGUAA
rnacentral:rRNA from 1 species